GUUUUAAUUCUAAUCGUUAAAGUUGAUAAUGCCUUGACAUUCUAUUCAGUUAAUGUUUGCAGAUGCCUUUAAAUUGGUUCGACCUGUAUCGUUUCUUAUCCUCGAAAAGUCAAUGUAAUUGUUAGCAAUGAAUAUAUUAAUACUUUGGAAUUUCAAAGAUGCGAUGAGGUUAAAGAUUUGGGUUCCUUGUUCAGGAAAACUUUCGAUUUAAUGGUCACUACAAUUACCUAAUUAAUAAGGCAUAUAAAGUAUUUGGCUUUAUAAUAGGAAACAGCAAAACCUUUAGGACCGACGAUUAUACGACUUGACACCAUUCUUGUAAGACCGCAUCUUGAGUGUGCUGCAAGUGUCCGGUCACCAACUUGCUACAGUCUCAAAAAGAUGAAGUAUGUAUUUGUAGAUGAAUUAUAUGAAUGACAAAACACUAGCGCUACGUAGUUUCCUUAUUCGUUCUGUUCCCCUGUCGCCGCUCUAUGGAAAAAAUCACGCCUUUACAGGACCAAUACAUCCAUAGUCGGAGAUCAGUAGUUUACGGCCUAACUCAUUCCUACCCCAGAAAAGAGAAUCAGCUCGAAGUAGUUAUGGAAAACCUUAUAAUUUUCCUGGACUUUAAGCUUGUAUUUAUGCUUAGA